rnacentral:lncRNA from 1 species
CAUGUUUUUGUUAGAGUAGCGUAGUUGAAUUAAACAAUUAAAGACUGAUUGAUUGAUUGAUUAAUUAAACAGAGUAUAAGUAUAGAUGACAGUAAACAAUUGAAGAGAAACUUUUACAGAGUCUGAAUCUUGGCUAUGGAACGAAAAUGGUGGUAUGUACGUACCUGACUAUGACUUGAGGCCUCAAAUGAUGAAUUGAUCAUCUAUCUUGAUGAAAGGAAUGUGAGCUAUCUUGCUCCACUCUUGUCCCGUCUUCUUCUGACACCUCUUCUCCAGGGAAGAACACUUUUCGAUGCUCAGAAAAGAGAGCGAUGCCGGCAAACCCUCUUUUGGCAGGAAUUCGAGACUAUCACACACCCUAAUUUCGAGCUCUUGAAGAGAAGUGAGGUGUUGAAGUCCCUUUCCCUCCAAAGAUUUCAGACUUUCCAUUCCAGAGAUUACGAGAGAGUGAAGAGUGGUAGGUAGCAGCUGUUCCUUGAGCACCGUCUCCAACAGAUCCUCGCUGCUCCAGAUCUCAAAUGUUCGAAGGGAGACAAGUCGUUGCAAACCCCAGUACUCCACCGAAGGCCUCAGUUUCUCACAACCACUGAUUGCAAAUGAUUGUAGGUUGGGAGGCAAACCCCCUUCUGCAAAUGACUCAACAUUUGGAAGUCCGUAUAUCCGCAAACGUCGAAGGGCGGUGAGGGUGUGUAUUCGGUCGGGCAAUAACUUCAACUUCUCGCAUCCAUCGACUAUAAAUCCAGCCAGUUUGGGAGUGCGCAAUCCCCCGUGGGGAAAAGAGACCAGAUUUGGACAGUCAAAGAUACCCAGAUGGUCGAGAUGAGUGAGAUUUUCAUCAUCAGCUCCUUCUCCAAUGGCAAGGGAUUCUAGAUUUUUAUUGUCCAAGAUCUGAAGUACCGAAAGUUUGGGGAAAACGCCCAGCGGGAAGGACCUCAGUGAAUCACAGCUGUUGACCAAAUUCAAAAGUUGAAGGGAGGUCAAUUUGGCCAUCAUCUCAUGAGAUAGGAAUUCUAAUCUCCUGCAAUUUUCUAUAUGAAGAAAUGUCAACGAAGUGGGUAGACCAUUUCUAGGGAACGACAAGAGUGAUGCGCAGUUAUACAGAGUCAAAUCUUUAAGACAAUUGCUCAAGUGCGGCCGCAAGCAUUCUCCGCGACUAAAAAAUUGAAUCUCAAGUUUGGAAAGCGAGGAAAGCGACUCCUUCUCCAGUAACGACGACAGACCAGGGCAUCUAACUAUCUUCAGUUGUUCAAGAGAUUGUCGCAAGGACUCCGUGUUGACGAUGAGAGACCAAGGUAUCCAUCUUGUUCUGGUAGCCCUUUCAUGUAGAACCCCGCAGUCUGACACCCAAAGCUGUCUCAAUGAAGGAAGAUGAUCGGGCAAGUUUCCCCUCAGCUUCGGACAAUUCUCUAAACUCAGCUCCUCGAGACGAGGAAAGUCUAGAGAUUGACCUCUGCCUGGACAUGGUAGCCAUUCCGCCCACUCCGGCAUCUCUUUGAACUUUAGCUUCUUGAGAGAUUGAAAUGGUUGACUUAGAGAAGCUCCAUUACCCCCGUAGAACUCAACACCAAUGCUCACAACAAAUUUCAUCCUUUCUAUAUAGAGCUCUUCGAGAGCGGGUACCGCCCAACUGGUGGCAAUGACAGGCAGGUACUACAUUCGCUGAGACGCAUGACUUGUAUGUUGGAGAAGGAGGAGUCCCCCAACCAAUCCGGAAAGCUGGUUCCACCAUAAAAUCUGAUGGUGAGCUUCACCAGAUUUACGGAAGGUUGUAGGCUUUCAAGUACAUGUCUCUCUUUUACGGAAUCAUUUGCAUCCUCACGACCCCAUGCCAACUCUACUUCGUUGAGAUCUUUCUUAUCCUUCAAAUUGGCCCCCAAAGCAUCCAUAUGAUUGACGACAUUUUGCAGAUUCAAGAUAGAUAGUUUUCCUCGAAGGUUCGACAAUUGCCCCAGUUCACCAAUGCCACCCGACCUAGUAGAUUCCCCCAACACAAAAGCAGUCAAUGUUCUCAAACUUUUUAGUCUACACAUUUGCACCGGCAUCUCUUUUAUACAAGUUCCACUGAUAUCAAGAUGACGCAAAUUAAUCAAUUUCCUUAUGUCUGCAGGCAAUUCAACAAGAGAGGAACAACCGACCAACAAUAGAGUUUGCAAAUUGUAGAGAGUACACAUCAUACCUGGUAACUUUUUAACUGCAGUGUGAGAGAGAUCAACGUAGCGCAAGUUUAAGUGUUUACCAAUGUUAUCAGGUAAUUGCGUGAUAUUUUUAUAUCUUGACAGUGACAACACCCGUAAACAUUUUACUGAUGGUAACAAAUCGUCUAAAACCUUUAUGCUUACAUAUAGGCUCUUAUCCCACUUUCUGUAUGGUCUUAAAGACAUAGGAAAUAAGGUUCGCAAACACUUAAUUUCAUCCAAUGACUUAAAUUUUGCGGCAGUAUCAAAUCUUCCUCUCAUAUAUGACAAAUGCCUUACUCUUUUAGGAACUUCGUGCGACUCUCCCUCCUCCAACCUAAAACAAAAUUCUCCAGACACAAACAUAGCCAAAUCGUUAAUGAGAUCAUGCAUUGUGAAACUUGAUGAUUCCUUAAUUAAUGAUCUUUGAAGUAGUGAUCGUGACAAUAGUUCAUCAAAGUAUCUCUCACCAAGCUCUUCCAAUCCUUUACAACUCUCAACUUGUGGAAUUAAACCCACUGCCAUCCAAAGUAGAAUUAUAUAUUCCUUUUCAAAUUCGUAGUCCUUUGGGAAAAUUGAGAGAUAAGCAAAGCAUUGUUUUAAAUAAGUAGGGAGAUAAUGGUAACUCAAUCUUAAAGAUGGAAGAACACUUUUAUCAGUAUGCAAUAUCUCCCAAAGAUUGUUGUUCAAUAUGUGACUCCAUUCCUUGUAACCUACAUUACAACCUAAGAGACCCCCAAGUGCUUUUGCAGCUAAAGGAAGACCAUUGCACUUGCGUGCAAUUUGCCUACCAAUUUCUUCCAAGUCUGGAUGCACACUAGGAUUUUCAUUUCUAAAUGCAUGUUUUGCAAGUAACAACCAACAAUCUUCAUGCGACAAUUGUUCCAAAGAGUAAAUGGGAACGUGUGCACAAUGGAUGCAACACUUUUGUUCCUUGUUGUCACGACGGCCUUGCUUCCCCUCGCCCCAUAAGUAAAAGGAGUCCUUACAAUAUCCCAAUCACUAUAGUCGUCAUUCCAAAGGUCAUCCAACACAAAUAGGAACUUUUUCCCCCUCACUUGUUCCCUAAGUUUAACUUGAAGCAAACUCAUAUCUUGAAGACUGCAAGGUUUUGAGGUAAUUGAUUCAAUAAGGGUUUUAGUUACCCUAAUAGCAUCAAAAUCUUCGGAAACACAAGCCCAAGCUGUAACAUCAAAAUGCUUGUAAUGGAUGAGUUAACAGGACAUAUUCAAGAUGAUAUUCCUUGGUGUAUGCUUUUCGCAGACGAUAUAGUGUUGAUAGAUGAAACUCAGGAAGGGGUAAAUGCAAAGCUUAACCUUUGGAGAGAAGUGUUGGAAUCUAAAGGUCUUCGCCUAAGCCGAUCAAAGACAGAAUAUAUAGAGUGCAAGUUCAGUGCAAAUGGAGGCCAAAACGAGUUAGGGGUGAGGAUCGGAGAUCAAGAAAUACCAAAGAGCGACCGUUUUCGUUACCUAGGAUCUAUCUUGCAAAAGAACGGAGAAUUAGAUGGAGAUCUCAACCAUAGAAUACAAGCUGGAUGGAUGAAGUGGAAGAGUGCAUCCGGCGUGUUGUGUGACCGCCGUAUGCCACUGAAGCUCAAGGGAAAAUUUUAUAGGACGGCAAUAAGGCCGGCGAUGCUGUAUGGCACAGAAUGUUGGGCGGUGAAACAUCAACACGUACACAAAAUGGGUGUAGCGGAGAUGAGGAUGCUUCGUUGGAUGUGUGGGCACACGAGAAAGGAUAAGAUUAGGAAUGAGGAUAUCCGGGGUAAAGUAGGAGUAGCCGAAAUUGAAGGAAAGAUGAGAGAAAAUCGGUUACGGUGGUUUGGACAUGUGCAAAGAAGGCCUACUGACGCUCCGAUUAGAAGAUGCGACUAUGGGACAGAGGUUUAGGGCCGAAUGGGUAGAGGAAGACCUAGGAAAACUUUGGAAGAGACUCUAAGAAAAGACUUAGAGUACUUGGAUCUAACGAAGGACAUGACACAGGAUCGAGCACAAUGGCGUUCUAAGAUUCAUAUAGCCGAUCCCACUCAGUGACUUGGAUUUUCCAAGUCUCCAACCGAGAAGUUUUCCUCACUCGGGAAAUUAAGGGAACACUACCCCAACCUACAUGCUCCACUCAGAAAGCUUCAACUUACAAGCUUCAACAAAAGAAAAUUCAAAGAACUUAGCGAAGAAGGCUUUGGUGUAUUUAACACAAUACGUUGAAAUGAAGGAAAGCUUAUUUAUUGAUAUCCCCGAUAAGCUACAAAUAUGUACAUAUACAUGAGUCAAAAUAAACACACAAGAGGGAGCCUUCACAAAGGUUGCUUAGGAGAAGUCUCAGCAGUCGGUAGAGCCCUAGAAAGAGAAGGCACCGGAGGGGGAUCAUUUGGAGCCUCAGUACUGGACAGAACCCUAGAAGGAGGAGGCAUCAGAGGUUGAUCAUUUGGAGCUUCAUUACGCGGUACAGCCCCAGAAGACGAAGGCAAUAAAUGCCUUUGGAACAAACCCACAAAUCUCUGAUGAUCAAGUAAAACCUGACCAUCAGUUUCCUUCAUCUGGUCAAGCUUCCUCUUCAUGUUUGUAGCAUAGUCAUGUGCGAGCCGGUGCAACUGUUUAUUCUCAUGCUUGAGCCCCCUAAUCUCCUGUUUGAGACUCAUCACUUCAGCCGCCAAUGAUUCAACUUGGCGGGUUCGAGCAAAUAGGCGUUGGGCCAUAUUAGACACAGAACCUGCACACUGAACACUGAGAGCCAGCGAAUCCUUAACAGCUAACUCAUCAGACCGUUUGGAAAGUAGUCUGUUAUCUUUGGGAGUGAGAAGGUUCCUGGCCACCACCGCAGCGGUCAUAUCAUUCUUCAUCACGGAAUCCCCAACGGUAAGAGGACCAGUAGGGGAGACGAAGGAUGGGCGCCAUAUGUUGUCUGGAGAAGGCGGGGCUGCCUCUUCAACAAGGUUCAAGUCAAAACGACGGUCGGAGGGGCCAGACAUUUUCAAAGGUGUUGAAGAGAGAAGAGGUCGGACAAAUCAAGAUCUUAGAAGUGCAAGAAUGAAGCUUCUACUGGUGGAGAUUCAAGUGUGCUUUGGAACUUAAUGCCAGCCCCUAUAAAAAUCUGCACUCGACGGAGCUUCAGAAAUCAAAGAGGCGCCUGCUCAGAAAUCGAAGAGGCGUUUGCUUUCUCAAAAGCUGGGCUGCUUAGAGAUCACGAGGGUUGAUCUCAGAAAUCGAAGAGGCGUUUGCUUUCUCAAAAGUUGGGCUGCUCAAAGACCAUGAAGGCCGAUCUCAGAAAUCGAAGAGGCGCUCGCUUUCUCAAAAGCUGGGCUACCCAGAGACCACGAGGGCCGAUCUCAGAAAUCGAAGAGGCACCUACUUUUUCAGCCUUGUCAGCACCUGUCACACGCACACUCAGCUUUGCGGAAAUUAUAGGCAUUCUGUCAAAGACUUCUGGGGAAGUAGAAAACACAUGAAUCUUACUGUUCAAUCACCCACUUCCCACACGCAACAAUAGCUCAUGGGUACCACAGAUAACUUUGCCAAAGUUCUCUGCCAAAGUUGAGCACGUGAAGCUUGCAGCUCCCACUACAUCGCUCUGACCAAGAAGGGUAAAAGAAUAGCAAUUUUAACACUCCCAACAAGAUUGCUUGCUCCAAAAUCGAAGAGGCACCGCCCUCCGAAUCUCGAGAGCCAGACUCCCAACAUGAUUACUUUCUCAAAAAUCGAAGAGACACUGCUCCUCGAAUCUCGAGAGCCAGACCCCCAGCAUGAUUACUUUCUCAAAAAUCGAAGAGGCAUCGUUCUCCGAAUCAAUCGAAGAGGCGCUCGCUUUCUCAAAAGCUGGGCUGCUCAGAGACCACGAGGGCUGAUCUCAGAAAUCGAAGAGGCACCUACUUUUCUAGCCUUGUCAGCACCUGUCACACGCACACUCAGCUUUGCAGAAAUUAUGGGCAUUCUGUCGAAGACUUCUGGUGAAGUAGAAAGCACAUGAAUCUUACUGUUCAAUCACCCACUUCCCACACGCAACAAUAGCUCAUGGGUACCACAGAUAACUUUGCCAAAGUUCUCUGCCAAAGUUGAGCACGUGAAACUUGCAGCUCCCACUACAUUGCUCUGACCAAGAAAGGUAAAAGAAUAGCAAAGAAACAGCACUAACAAAGUUUAGACACAUAAAUUUUGAAGGUCUAGCUACCAUAUUAUUACCCACAAGGGUAAAGGAACAGUACCACUGCUGGAUAAUUGAAAAGUCCCUGUGUGUCAACCUCUGUGCUUCGUGGCAAGGUAGACUAGCAAACAUGCCCAACCUUUACUCACAUUCGAGAAAACACUCCCAACAAGAUUGCUUGCUCCAAAAUCGAAGAGGCACCGUCAUCCGAAUCUCGAGAGCCAGACUCCCAACAUGACUACUUUCUCAAAAUCGAAGAGAGGGUAAAGGAACAGUACCAUUGCUGGAUAAUUGGAAAGUCCCUGUGUGUCAACCUUUGUGCUUCGUGGCAAGGUAGACUAGCAAACAUGCCCAACCUUUACUCACAUUCGAGACAACACUCCCAACAAGAUUGCUUGCUCCAAAAUCGAAGAGGCACCGCCCUCCGAAUCUCGAGAGCCAGACUCCCAACAUGAUUACUUCCUCAAAAAUCGAAGAGACACUGCUCUCCGAAUCUCGAGAGUCAGACCCCCAGCAUGAUUGCUUUCUCAAAAAUCGAAGAGGCAUCGUUCUCCGAAUCUCGAGAGCCAGAUACCACAGACCACUUUUUCAAAGUGCUCUGACAGAGUUAAAACAUGUGAAACUGACAGCUCCCACUACCGUGCUAUGACCAAGCAGGGUAAAGGAAUAGCAUUACUACUUGUUGUUAGGGAGACUCCUAUAUAUGUCGACCUCCAUCCCCAACGGACAGGCAGACCUGCAAAAAUGCUCAACCCUUCAUCAUAUCUGAGAGGGCACUCCCAACGAAGCCUUUCGAAAUAUUCAGCUUUCUUUCCCCCCGAUAAUACCUCUGCAAACAAGCUAUACUAGAGCAAGAAUAUCUCAUAUCAUCAGGGUUAAAAGCAAGAGUAUCCCAUAUCAUGCUUUUUCCCUGUCUUUUCUUUUGGCCUUGUUUUUACCUGCAAGACAAGGAGAAAGAGAGCAAUCAGUCAGCACUUGGAAUCAAGCUUCCAGCUAGGAACUGACUGCCUGGAACCCCUUACCUGAUUACUUACCUGGCAUUGCUCGAGUACUCAUCUUCAACAUCUUAUGUUUCCAGGGAAGAUUCCGCAUCUGCUUGAGGAACAGAUAGAGCAAGUGCAAAGGAUACAAGGAAGCAUGUGGAGACAAGCGUAACAGCACACGUGCCGAUACAUCCAUUACUCUGUCAAAAGCAAAAGUAUCCCAUAUCAGCAGGGUGGAACGUACUCUAGAUUUGAUGGACUUGUUUUGACCCUCAAAUUCUUCAGUCGGCCUUAUACUCUGGAGGAAACCAGAAAACCCUCCAGCUCAGUUCAAGAAUAAGCCUGUGGAAAGUUACUUCUUCAAAAGCAAAAGUAUCUCAUAUCAUCUCUUCUCAUUUUUCUUCUCUUUAUCCUUCAUGCUGCUGCAAGAUGGGGAGAAGGUGAACAAUCAGUCGGAGCUCUGAUUGCUUACCUUGUCUGUCACCUCUUUCAGCAGACCCCCCUAGCUCGGCGACUUGGGGGACUCCUACUACAUGGUUUGUAUCGCGCUUGACCAAGCCUGAAACUACAAGUAAGCUUCAAGUGAAAUUGAUACAUUACCUUGUGCAUCUCCACCAGUUAAAGAUACCACCCCUGGAUGGAGGAAGAGUACUUCCAGAGAAGAUGCCACAUCUACCUAUGAGACGGAUAAGGCAAGUCAAGACGACACCACACUCCGAUACUUAGAAGUUUCGUGAUUACGAGAUCAUUCUCCCACAAUAUUUCCUAAUGUCAUUUGUACUAAAUCAUUCACUUGUACUCACUAAAGGAGAGCUUGAACCUAUGUACUUGUGUAAACCCUUCACAAUUAAUGAGAACUCUUCUAUUCCGUGGACUUAGCCAAUCUGGGUGAACCACGUACAUCUUGUGUUUGCUUUCCUAUCUCUAUCCAUUUAUAUACUUAUCCACACUAAUGAUCGGAGCAAUCUAGCGAAGAUCACAAAAAGCGACCGUUUUCGCUACCUAGGAUCUAUCUUGCAAGAGAACGGAGAAUUAGAUGGAGAUCUCAACCAUAGAAUACGAGCUGGAUGGAAAGAGUGCAUCCGGCGUGUUGUGUGACCGUCGUAGGCCACUGAAGCUCAAGGGAAAAUUUUAUAGGACGGCAAUAAGGCCAGCGAUGUUGUAUGGCACAGAAUGUUGGGUGGUGAAGCAUCAACACGUACACAAAAUGGGUGUAGCGGAGAUGAGGAUGCUUCGUGGGAUGUGUGGGCACACGAGAAAGGAUAAGAUUGGGAAUGAGGAUAUCCGAGGUAAAGUAGGAGUAGCCGAAAUUGUAGGAAAGAUGAGAGAAAAUCGGCUCCGGUGAUUUGGACAUGUGCAAAGAAGGCCGACUGACGCUCUGGUUCGAAGAUGUGACUACGGGACAGAGGUUCAGGGCCGAAGGGGUAGAGGAAGACCUAGGAAAACUUUGGAAGAGACUCUAAGAAAAGACUUAGAGUACUUGGAUCUAACGGAGGACAUGACACAAAACCGAGCGCAAUGGCGUUCUAGGAUUCAUAUAACCGACCCCACUUAGUGGGAAAAGGCUUUGUUGUUGUUGUUGUUGUUGUUGUUGUUGUUGUUGUUGUUGUAUCAUUGUAAAGGAGCUGGGCAAGGGUUGUCUUACCAACUCCCCCCAUCCCAACUAUGGCGAGUACGGAUACGUUAUUGCUACUAAUUGUAUCAUCAGAUAGCAACAACCUUGUCAACUUUUCUUUAUCCCCGUCCCUACCACAAGGACUAAAUUCAUGCUCAACAAGGGAAGUUGUGAGUUUUCUUUGAGAAACAUUCUCCUUAACACCUCCUACAAGACCAAGGAGAUCUUUUUGUUUGGCAAGAUGUUCUAACCUUUGGAAUAACUCUUGUAUCCUACCAUUCAUGCCUUGACAAAAAGGACUAAAAGAAGUAGAGAGGAAGUUCCACACCUGGGACGUCUUUUUGGUUUGAUAUUCAUCAGCUUCCACCUUGCUUCGCAAAACUUCAGUAUCGAUCUCAGCCAGAAGGUCCUCGGCAUCGAAGACGGCAUGUUUGAGCUCGUCGAGCCACUUUCUCACACGAGGUUUCUCAAUUUGCUUCUCCUCUGCAUCAUCGAGCACUGCAUCGAGGGUCAGAAAAGUCAGCUUCAGUUUCUCCAAGAGUGAAUGGUCAAGCUUUUUUCCCCGUAAGAAGUCCAUGAACUCCCCAGAAGCAAUCUUGUCGCACAGCGUCUGAAUGGAAGCGGAGAGAAAAGCCUCUCCAAUCAAAGCUCCUGCCAUUUCUCUCUCUCUUUCUCUCUGUUUUUUUUUUUUUAUCUUCAAAGAAGUGUUGAGGUGAGGAAGAAGAAGAGUCUUAUUAGCUUAAUUUCGUUUCGGAAAGAGACCCCACACGUUAAUCAAAGAGUCUUAUUACCUAUAAUUUAAGUGACAAUUUCCUAGUAGUUGGUUUGGUUGGUGUGAGAGUGCGGGUUGGGUGGCUAUUUUUUAGUUAUUAACCAUAACAUCACUUUUGUUUGUUGAUAAUUUGAUAUUAAGCCGCGUUGGAAUUUUGCUUUUGGGCGGAUACAACACAGGAUCUUUAAAUUGAUCACCUAAUUAAUUAAAAUUAAAAUUGUAAUCUUUUGUUUAUUAUGUUAUCAUGUCAUCAUGCAUGUGAAAAGAAGUCACACUGACCUGGUUAAUUAAUAUAUUGGAGUUAUAUUACAAGUUGUUAAACUCAAAAAUAGAUGGGAUCUCUUUUUUUUCAUCCCUUGCCAGGUCUUAUAAUUGGCUUGUAAAAUAGGAGAGCUUCAACUCGAGUCCAAGCAGGCAACAAUACAAAGCCUUUCAUCAAAAUUUUGUCAUCCAAGUGCACCUAGCAAUCCCUUCUUCUAGUUGUCCACCCAUUUUUCGAUUGGUUACCAAUUUCUUCUUUUGCAGUAUGUCGAGAUUAAAAUGAAUAAAAGUGAAUUAAAUUAGUAUCAUGCAUCGUACAAAGACAUACUUAGAACGAUAAUUACAAUAAAGGAUGUUAUCAGUACUUUGCUUCAACAUCAAACACCAAAUAUAUUGUUGGAAACAAAUAGCAAGAUAAUGCAUUUACAGAUAAUAUUUUUUUAGAGUUUAUUGCCUUCAUCGUGAGAUGAUGACCGCGAUUUCUAUUAAUUUUGAGCAAUAUAGAUAUUAUGAAUAUCUGAUGAAUGAAAAAAAUGGAAUGCCAAAAACAGCAAUGUACUGAGACUUAUAAAACACCAAAGUUUUAAACAUGAAGAUUAAAAAGAUACUUAUGACAAAAAGAAUUUUUGGCAUUUUAGCUAAAAUGAUCUCUAAGAUUGAUAUAACUCAUCACUUUUGGUCUCCGAGAUUUGAAAUUAAUAGAGGUGAUCCUUAAGUUUGACUAUCAUCAAUCAUUUUGUUCAUUCUGUAAAAAAAAAUGUUACAUAAGGACCAAAAUGACAAAAAAAACCCUUAAUUUAAUAAAAUAUGGCCCAAAAUGAUUUUGACAAAAUUAAGAUCAUUUUUAUCAUUUUAUCCUUAUUUAACAGAGAUUUUUCGCAUAAUAGUCAAAAUGGUUUAUGGUGGAUAAACUCAGCUCAAGGACCAAUUUUAUUAAUUUUAAAUCUCAAAACUAAAUUGAAAAGUUAUAACAAUCUCAGCUUCAACUUCUCCAUGAGUGAAUGGUAAGUUUUUCCCGCCGGAACAAGUCCAUAAACUCGUCAGAAGCAAUCUUGUCGCACAACCUCUGGAUGGAAGAGGAGAGAAAAACCUCUCCAAUCAAAGCUCUUGCCAUUUUCUCCCCCUCUCUUUUUUUUUUUUUUUUUUUUCGGUCCUUCAAAGAAAGUGUUGAGGUGAGGAGGUGAGGAAGAACAAGAGACGACUUGAUACACUUUUGGUCAAUAAUUGAGUGGACCCCACACGUUAAUCAUAGAGUCUACUUUUUUUUUAAUUUUUUUUUAUAACAUAUCAGUCUUAAGAAUUUCUUAAUAGUUGGUGUGAGAGUGACAGAGUGGGUUGGGUGAAUUUCAGUGGACCUCACACGUUAAUCAUGCAUGUAAGUAGCAAUCACAUUGACUUGGUUAAUUAAUAGAUUGCAGUUGGACUAUAAAAAUAGGAACAAUUUUUCUUUGUAUCUGGAACACGAGUGGUAUAGUGUAUGUCAUUAUAUAAGUGAAUGAAAAUUUUAUUUUUUAAGUUGUUAAUAUUUUAAUAUAAGUAUCCCACAACUCGUAUAGUGACACGUGAUGUAUCACUUCGUGUUCUGAUUGCAUUGAAAAAUUCUCUUCAAAAUAGAAGGGCUCUCUAUUUUUACUCCAUUUGCUAGGAUAGAUUUUUCAUUGUGAUCAGAACACGAGUGAUAUACCAUGUGUUUUAUAUAAACGGUGAGAAAUUUUAUUUUUUAAGUUAUUAACUUUUUAACACACAUAUCCCAUCACUUAUAUAGUGACACGUGAUGUACUAACUCGUGUUCUGUCAUUAAAAAAUCUCUCCCUUGCCAAGUCUAAUCAUAUGGUCUAUGGGGAGAUCAAAGCUUCUACGCCCAAAAUGGGCGUGGUAUCUCUAUACCUCAAAUUAUUGUUUGACACACAUUAAGUCUAUGAAAACAAAGUUAAGAAUAAUUGGAGCCAAAGAGAGACUACACUCAUCUUAGAGACAGAAAAUUUGAUCACGUUCUAGAAAUGUCAAUGGGUUGUAAAAGGAGUGAUAUUCACACACUCUUUUUUACUUCUCACAUACCAUUUAUUAAUUUAUGUUAUUUAAUUUUUUUUAAUACAUUCGAUCUGACGGCCUAAAAUUAAGAAAACAUAUGAUAAGUAAAAAGAAGUGUGUAAACAAUAUAUUUCGCCGUAAAUUAGGGGAACUUUAACUCGAUUCUAAGCAGGCAACAAAACAUUGUCUUUCAUCAAAAUUUUGUCCUCGAAGUGCGCACCCUAAGCAAUCCCUUCUAUUUGUCCACCCAUGACCCAUCCUUUUCAAUUGGUUACUAAUUUCCUCUUUUGCAGCCCGUUUAGACCAAAAUGAAUCAAAGUGAAUUAAAUUAGUAUCACGCGUCAUAUAAUAUGUGUUCACGCUCAGAAUGAUAAUUACAUCGAACAAAAUAAUAUGCGUCAACUUCAAACAACAAACAUAUCAUUAAGAAUAAACAGCAAGAUCUUGCAUCUAUGAAUCCUAAUUUUUAGAGUUUACAACCUUCUUCGUGAGAUGACUCCAAGUUCUAUUAAUUUUGAGCCACAUAGAUAUUAUGAUGGAUGAAAAAAAUGAAGGCAAAAAAACAGCAAUGUUCCGUGACUUAUGAAACACCCAACUUUGAACAUGAAAAUCUGAAAGAUAUUUCUCUAAAAACAAUUUAUUUUAAAGAAAACUUAGAAGGCCUCACUAUAAACAUAAACGAUCUGGGAGGGAAUAAACAUUCGGGAAGAGGGAGAGAGUUUAGAGAUGUGGUUUUGUGGCGUUUGGUACUUGGAGUGAGACGGAACAGGUUCGUCUCACGUUUGGUGCGACAAAAAAAUGAGACGCACCUAUUCUUAGAAUGAAUUUUAGUUUAAUUUUUGUACCACGCUCCCUCAUGAAAAAUGACUUAUUUCACUCCAUGGAACGAACUUAUUUCACCCCAUGAAACACAAAAAUACCCCUGCUGUUUUUCAAUAAUUCUACUACCAAAUCAUAAAAACAAACCCUAAUCUUGUGUCUUUCUUCUUUCCUAGUAGCCUCUCUCUUUCUCUCCCCGUCUUCUCGGCGGAGAGGCUCCAUUCUCUACUUCGUUCACUACCUCUCUCUUCUCUCGUCGCAGCAUCUCAAUAUCUUCCCGCUUUGAUUUAAUUGUCAGUUUUUCUGAGUUGGUUGUGAUUUUCCUCAUUCAGUUAACCAUGGUUUUUUUAGGUGUAGAAGUGGAAACCCCUAGAAAUUUAUGGGUUUUCACUGAAAUUGAUUUUCCGUACCACAAGCUUUGUACUGUUUGGGGUUAAGGGUGUAAUUUAGAGGUAUACAUCCAUUUCUGUGUUUAAGUUUAUGCAACUAUUGGCUGAGAAAAUGAAUCGUUUCUUAAUUUUUCCUUCUUAUAAGCUAAAGAGAAUAUGGCUGCUGCGAUGAAUGUGAAAUAAUUACCCAGAAAUACAUUAUUACCCGGAAGAACCUAAUAAACUUCUUCAUUACCAACAAAUAUUAAUAUUCAUUAAGUGUCAUUGUCACAAAUAUAUCAUAAAAUAAGCAAGGAUAAGUUGGCCUUUUAAUUUUUUUGUUCUAUUCCGCGUGAACUAUCAAACGCGAAACAGAACAAUUGACUCAUUUCAGCAUGUAUGUACCAAACUAUAUUCGAACCUCUGCUCCAUCCUAUUUCUAUCCCGUCUACACAUCAAAUGCUACUUUAAUUCUUUUUAAAUUUGAAUUUUUAAUUUUUUUAAUCUUAUUUUAUUUCUGUGAUUUUAAAUGCCCAUAAACUAACUGAAUAGUGGAGCAAAAGUGGAGAGAUUUCACCUGGAAAUUGUAUUAAUGGUAUCUCAACUUUAACUCAAUUAGAGCAAUGAUCAUUCAACUAAAAAUUCCUAAUCAUUGGUCACUUUACUCAACAAAACGUGCAACUAUGGACAUUUUCAACAACUCUGUCAGAACUUUCGUCAAAAUGAGACUAAAUCAAGGGGCAAAUAUGAAAAAUCAAAUGAGAAAAAUUGCAGCAAUGAUCCCUCAACUUUAACCCAAUUAUAGCAAUGGUUCUUCCAACAUGACUUAUUUUGACGGAGUUUAUAAAAAUGAUCAUAGUUGCAUGUUUUGAUAAGUAAAAGGGACUAAUAAUUAUGAAUUUUUAGUUACGGAACUAUUCCUCCAACUGAAUUAAAGUUAUGUUACUACAAUUUCUCUUAGCAGCAAUGGGGGUAUUUAGCCAUAAAUAAAAGUAUAUAAUUAAAUUUCAAGGGAAAAUUCGACAAAUAGUUAAAACGAAACUAAAAAUCAGACUUGAAAGUAUAACUUCAAACACAUUAUUUGGUUUUAACGAAAAACAAGUCUAAUUGAAGCAACAGAAAUGUGUCCCGCCACUAAUCACCGCGCCUUCUCUUGAAGCGCUUACUCUCUCUCUCUUUCUCUGUCUAUCUCUGAGUUGCCGUAGCAUCGACCACUCCAGAAAACCGUACGUCUCCAGGUGCCUCACUCCGCAUUCAAAGUGAAGCCUUUUUAGGGUUUCAUUUCAGCAGGGCCUCUUUGGAGUGUUGCAAUUUUCAAGCUAUAAACUUUUCCCUUAUCAUCCCACUUCCAGCAUUCUCAAAUUUGCCAUAUUUUCCUUAUCUUCAACGCCUUUGUCCUUUUCGCAGAAAGCCCGUCGCCAAUUGAUUCAAUCCGUAGCAGAUUUUGGCGCGAAGAAGCUCCAUUGAUCCCGAAUACACAAAUGUGUUGGAGCAAUGAAUAGGGCACCUCAUAUGAGGCAAGAGUAAGAGGAACAAAGAAAUAGCCUUUUUACUUUGCAUUAUACUCCCAUUGCUUCCAUUGUUAUUUAUUUGGAAUUCGGGUAUGUUCAGUCGUCCCAAUCUGGGUCAAGAUUUCUGUGCCCGGACGCCUGUUAAAGCUGAUUUGUUGGAACAUGUCAAUGCAAUUGAUAAUUUCUCGUGCCCGCAUAGUGUUCUGAGUUCAAAUUUUAUUUUCUCCUUACCAACACAAAAACCUCUGGCCGAAGAGGCAAUGGUUUCUGGGGUAUGUCGCGGUUAUACGUGUUUUGUUUCAUUUUUGUUUGUUUGUUUUUUUUUUUUUUUUUUUUUUCGUGUACUGUUAUUUUUUUUUAUCUUGAGGAUUACUUGUUAUUUGGUGACAACUUGACAUCAGUUUUUGUGUUUGGUGAUUGUGGUCUUUUGCUUGGGUAAAAUAUAGCUCUUGUGUUUGUGUUAGUUACAUGAUUUAUUGUUUGUUUCAGCUAAUUUUAAGUUUCAUCAUACCUUAGCGAUCAGGGCCGGUUCUGAGAUUUUAGGGGUAUGGGUCCUUGCAUAAAAGAAUCCCGCUAUAGUGAAGCUAAUUUAUGUGUCUAUAGUUGUAUUAAUAUGGUAUCUAAAUAGAGUAUUAUUACUCAUGAGUUAUGGUUCAAAUCAACACUAAUCAUGAAAGUAAAACGCAAUUUAGAGCUAAGCCAUCAGAACCAAACUAAGAAACAUAAAAGUGAUUCCUCUAAUACAGAUGGAGGCCAUUAUUCUCUUAUUCACAUACAAAUCCUAAAAAAUUUCCCUAAGAUGAAUUCUUUUUACGGAAACCAAGUUGGUACAUAUAUACAUAUGAUAUCAUCAUUUAGGAACCCCUUAAGAUUGGGGGCCCUGUGCAAGGGCACCUAUUGCACAUGCCCAAAGCCGCCACUGUUUGUGAUAGAUAUAUAUAAUAUAUCAUUUUAAGAAUGGAUGUGAAUUCCAUUUUUUGUUUUCCUCGAAUCAAUCAUUUCUGACUGUUGGAUACUCCUAGUUCUUGAUGGUAGACAUGGAUUUUUAUGCAACUAUCGAUACUACUACCUCAAAGCAUUUAACCUGGUAUGUAUCUUGGUUCUCUUUAUGCUUUUAGCUCAAUGGCUUGUCCAAUUCAGAAUACUGAAAUAUCUUUGAGGUUGUGAUAAAAUCUAUACCUAGUAAUAGAUGGUUAAGUGAAAACAAUAUUGGUGAAUGAAUGAAUGAAUGACAUGAUAGGCAACACCUAGUAAUGAUAACACCCGCAUUUAGUAAUCUUAGGCCUAAAAAGUUUGUCAUGUUGAGCAUGUUAUUCUUUUGACAUGAAAUGAAUGAAUGGAUACGCUCUUCAAAGGUUGUGUUUGCUCUGGCAUAAUAAAUGAGUUAUUGGUUUUGUUAUUCCACACUUAGGAAUUAAAUAGUAGUGCUACGUACUAUCCUAUGCAAGUCUUAAGAUAUUUAACUAUCAACUGUCAUAUCAAGUGGUCUACAAAAUAUUGUCUAAAAACAUAUUCUCCGUAGCAUUUUCCUUAAAAUUUUAGUUUGUCAACCAAAAAGUAAAUAAAUUUUUAGUUUUACGUGCUAGUGGAGUACACGUAGCAUGAGUAGAAGUGAAAAAGUUAAAAUAAGGUUGCUAACACUCCCCUUCAUAUUUUAGCAAAGCUCAAUAAUCAUUUCAUAUCCUCACAUAGGUUAACUGAAACAAUUAUUCUAUUCAACUUUAGGUCAAUAAUUUUUUUUCUCUAACCCAUGCUCUUCAACGUAUCUGCAGCAUCUACCUGAAGAUUAAAGUUUAAUUGAAAGAUGAGAAAAUCAUGCCGCCGUAUUCAAACAACACCAGUACGUGAAAACCAUCAUCCUCGGUUGGCGUUACCUUUUUCGAUGCAGAAGCAUUAUAUUCGUGCUGGAUAGGCAGAGCCACUGAGCGACAUUCAAGGACUACUACUUGUCGUAGUUUUGGUUCCCUCAGAUAAUCACGUCUUUACAUUUCCACUGAAUGCACAUAAAUAAGUCACUCCCAUCACAAACUGUCCAGGCCGUCCGCUUCAUCCGUUUCCUCCAUGCGUUAGUUCUCGAAGAACAGAUUCAGCUUGGGACUUUUCAAUUUUAAAAAACUAGAGUAAAAACAAACAAGAAAAAAAAAAUCAAGUGAAUUGGAAGUUCAGGAAUGAUUUAGCACCAAAAGCAAUUAAAACAUGUCUAGAGCAACAUUUUGAUCAAGUAUAUAAUAGAACAAAAGUAAGAAUUACCUCUCUAAAAGUUUUACAGAACAAAAAUUGGACAGCAUUUCCCACAUCCUCAGCAGCUAAUGGUGGCCUGGGGUAGGGGAAGCUCAAGAUCAACCUCUCUGCUCUCAACACGGAGUUCCUUGCCCCUGUGGCACCCUCUUGCAGCCUUGUCCUUGCCCUUGGAAUCAUUCUCAUUCACAGCAGCACCACCAUCUCUGCUGCAUUACAAGUUUCCAUCAACUCGUCCUGCUUUGCUGCAUCCGAGUACUUCACAUCUUCGCUCUGAUCAAGGGCUUUCUUCCCUCAUUUGCUAGGUGAAUCAACACACUUUGCCUGCCAAAACUCGAGACCAUAAGCCCUCUUAAACAGAAUUAAAACCAACCAACAACAUCAAUAUGCACCAUCUCUGCUGCCAAAAUCAACCUCUUGAGUCUCAAUAUUCCAAGGCCACUCCUAGACUUUACGAUGCUUUAUGACUGCCUUGCCAUUGACAUCCUUAUUGCUCAUAGUAGCCGCACCAUCUCUGCUGCCAUUACAAAUUUCCAUUAACUCUUACUGCUUUUGUUUUCUUAGUUUCUUCCUGAUCAGAUUCGGAGAUGCAUCCACGUUCAUAUCUUUUCUUCCAUCAAGAGACUUCUCCUUCCCUCGUUUUCUUGGUGAACCAACACCAGUUUCCUAUCAAAACUUGAGGGCAUAAAACCGCUUAAACAUCACUAAAACCUUUUUUGAAUCCAUACAUUUUUGCGGUGAACCAUCCUUGCUUCAGACAUCCAUCUCCCCUUGUUUCUUCGGCUUGUACACAGUCGAAGGGACUGUUCGUAUUUUAUUAGAUUCCAACUCCAGUCGCCUGUCACCACCACACAUAGAAAACAUACGUUUUUGUCCUGAUACGACUCAAGGGAGAGCUCAUAAGAUCCCCAGUUGUAGAGCAAAAUGCUGUAAUCUCUCAGUUCUUUUCUUUAAGGAGAGUAUGUGGACAUUCCAACAAAAUUCAUGGAGGGCAAGUGCACAGUUAAUGCAAUGAAAGAAGACAGCUUUACCUUCAGAUCGAUGCAUUCUCCCACUUCAUUUCCACAUCAAGUUGUGAAAAUCCUGUUUCUUCUCAUAUCUGUUCCGAUAGGAUGCCAACACAAGUGCUUUUCUUUUUCAUACCCCAGCUCAACAUGUAUGAAUACUGCUAAAUUCCAACAAGGGCAAGCAUGAGGGUGGUGCUCCAUAGAAACCUGGCUCUCAUUUUGUUUUGUGGUCAUCGUCACCUGUUCUCACUUCAACAGAGCUGUGUAUGUACAAAAAUAUAUCUGCACCCACCCGAAGAUGGCAGCAACAUGAAGAGAAGAUGAAAAGGAAUGCUGCUUGUUUGAAAAUAAAGCAAUAUAUGAGUAAAACAUCAUUCCUGGGGUUACCUAUCCAAUUGAAGGAGAAUCAUAUUCAUGCCACACUGCAGGACAACCAUUCAUGGACAGCUAAUUGAUGGGCGUUAAAAUCAUUGGCCUUACAUAAUCCAAUCUUUACAGUUCCACAGUUUGCUAUCUGCCUCAGCAAAGCCUAUGAACACGUUAGUGACAUAAUUUUGCCUUGAAAGCAUAGUUGAAUUUCACUGUUAACAUUUGACUAGUCUAUAAGCCUAAAUGAUUAAAGACAAAUUCUACAGAUAAGGUGCAACAUAUUUACAAAGGCAUUAGGAAUAAUGCCUUCACAAUUUUCCCUACAUUUCCCAUUUUAUCAUCCCAAUCAAACUUUGAAAAUAAAGGUCGUACCCAGUGCACAACGCACAUAAAUAAGUCACUCCCAUCACAUUCUCCUGAAAAUUUUAAGAAACAUUUUUAUUUUAAAGGAAAAAGAAAACAGAACAAGAAAGCGAUGCAGUGUGCUGGGCCGAAACAAUUCAAUAGAAAUUUCUGCAGAUACAUGUGAUAAAUUUUUCUCCUCCAAACAUUUUUCUUUUUAAAGAAAAAGAAAACAGAACAAGAAAGCAAUGCAGUAUGCUGGGCCUAAACAAUUCAAUAAAAAUUUCUGCAGAUACAUGUGACAAAUUUUUCUCCUCUGCCCUGUUCCUUUUAUUUUAGUAAUUGAACUCUGAAACUUUGAAAAGAAUUCAGCGGGAUUGUUCACUCUCUCUUUAAAUCUUAGAUAGGGGAUGAAACAGGAUACUCCUCCGCUUUACAUCAUUAAAGUUACGAACCAGCACCAUUUAUGUGUGUGUACAUAUAUACACACACAUCAAUCAUUAAAGUUAUGAACCAGCACCAUGUAUGUAUGUGUGUGUGUGUGUGUGUUGCAACAAAAAAUAUGGCGAAACAACUAAAAAUGGUUAACUAAAAAAAUGAAAGAAAAAUCUCUAUGUAGAUUUUAUGUAGAAAAGUUGAGACAAUCAAUAUAACAAAUAAAAGAUAAAGUACCUGACAUUAGAGAGUUGAGAGUGAAAUGAGAAGCAAAAGUUUUGGUGAGAGAGAGACAGAGAUCAUAUCAUGAUGACUAUGUCAUCUCUCUUUAAGCAAGGAAUAUGAGCUAUCUUUCUCCAUUCUUUUCCUUCUUGGUCUCAUACCUCUUCUUCAUAGAGGGGCAUCUGGUGAUGUUCAGGAAAGAAAUAGAUGCCGGAAAACCCUGUUUUGGCAGGAAGUCGAGACUAUCACACCUUCCAAUAUAUAGCUUUUGAAGAGAAGUGCGGUGUUGAAGUCCAUUUCUGUCCAAAGAUUUCAGACUUGAGAGAUAAGAGAUUGCAAGAGUGUGAAGAGCGGUAAGAAGCAACUGUUCCUUGAGCAACGUCUUCAACACAUCCUCGCUGCUGAAUUGAAUCUUCGAAGGGAGACAAGCCGUUGCAAACCCCAGUUCUCCACUGAAGGCCUCAAUUUCUCACAAUCUCUGUUAUGAAAUGUUUGUAGGUUGGGAGGCAAACCCCUUUCACCAAAUGACACAAGAUUUGGAAGAUCCCAGGUGCUCAAUUUUUGAAGGGUGGUGCGGGUGACAGGUGUGCAUAUGUUUGGGCAAUAACUUCAUAUUAUCGAUCCCCAGACUCCAACAUGAAAUUUUUGCUAUCGCAUCCCUUUGACGUUGGCCAAUCUUUCAUUUUGCUCCCCAAUCCAUCCCCUCGAUGUCCUGGAGGAAAGACCGAAAAGAUCUUUUAACUUGAAAUGCAGAAAACAGGACAAUUACAAAAUUAUAAUUUGCAUAAUAUUUAUCUUCUAUUUACUUUGUGUUAAGAGCCUCAUCACAGAGGAAAUUUAAAAGCUUAAGGCAUCAUAUCCAUCCUCACCUCCACUAAAACACUCUGCGGGCAGAUCCUGCAGCCUUGCAACCCUGGACGCAGAGAUCAGGUUCUCCAAAUCUUGGAACCAUGAGCAGUUGGUGCUUGCUUGCUCUAGAGGCCUUAGGAAUAAUGCCUUCACAUUUUUCCCUACUUUUCCCAUUUAUCAUCGCAAUCAAACUCUGAAAGUGGAAACAAAAUUUAGACAUGAUUUGACAAGGAAAGAUAGCAAUGUGAAAGUUUUAGUGGGAGCAGAGUAGUAAUCACUUGAGGUGUACCAAGAUGCAAAAUAAUAAGAAAAUUUAGGAACCAGUUUUCCUAAAAUAUUGAGGAAACAACUCUAGUAGAGAAAUGCAAAUUUUACUUGUGAUGGAAAAAAAAUUUACAUAUAUAUCAAAGUCCUUCACAAAAAUUGCUUGUUUCUUCUCAUCGAUAUUGAAUGCAGAUGUCAACUCAAGCGCAUUCCUUUUUCAUACCUUGUCUCAGAAAGAUACCUUAAAUUCAAAGUUGAAGAUACUAUAAAUUAAUGAGUGAUCUAAGAAAACAAGCAUAUGUCUCAGUGGAACCUAAUUAUUAGCACAGCUUCUUCAAAUUAAAUUCCAGUUUGUUACGCGUUCAAGUUUGACAAUCUGGAUCUUUUCCUUAUCUUAAGAUGAAUGUGCAUUCUACCACACUCAAAUCAUAUCAGUAUGAGAAAGGGAAAAAAAACAUCAUCCAGGGUUACCUCCUCGCCCAUGCAGGAGAAUCAUAUUCUUGACAGUGACAAAUAGCCAUGGCACGAUUCGACAACUAGUAAUUUAUGUAAGCAAACACAUGUUGCCCUUGGAUGAUAUUGUCCUGAAAUUUAAGGACCAUGCUUUUGUUAGAGUAGCGUAGUUGAAUUAAACAAUUAAAAACUGACUGACUAAUUAAUUAAACAGAGUAUAAGUAUAGAUGACAGUAAACAAUUGAAGAGAAACUUUUACAGAAUUUGAAUCUUGCCUAUGGAAUAAACAUGGCGCUAUGCACGUACCUGACUUUGACUUGAGGCCUCAAAUGAUGAAUUGAUCAUCUAUCUUGAUGAGAGGAAUGUGAGCUAUCUUGCUCCACUCUUGUCCAGUCUUCUUCUGACACCUCUUCUUCAGGGAAGAACAGUUUUGGAUGCUCAGAAAAGAGAGCGAUGCCGGCAAACCCUCUUUUGGCAGGAAUUCGAGACUACGACACCCCUUAAUUUCGAGCUCUUGAAGACAAGUGAGGUGUUGAAAUCCCUUUCCCUUCAGAGAUUUCAGACUCGUUCCACAGAUUGCGAGAGUGUGAAGAGUGUUAGGGAGCAGCUGUUCCUUGAGCACCGUCUUCAACAGAUCCUUGCGGCUUGAGAUCCGAAAUGUUCGAAGGGAGACAAGUCGUUGCAAACCCCAGUACUCCACUGAAGGCCUCAGUUUCUCACAACCACUGAUUCGAAAUAAUUGUAGGUUGGGAGGCAAACCCCCUUCUGCAAAUGACUCAACAUUUGGA